rnacentral:misc_RNA from 1 species
AAGACUAUAGACCUGCGGAGUACCUGCGGAAGGAUCAUUAUUGAAUGAAUAUAGAGUUGGUUGUUGCUGGCCUUUGAGCAUGUGCACACCUUCUCUUUUCAUCCACACACACCUGUGAACUUGUGAGGCAGGAAGGGGAGAGAGGCCUUAAUUGGUCUGAUUUUUUUCCUGCCUACUUAAUCACACAAACUCAUUUAUUUUAAACUGAAUGUAAUUGAUGUAACACAUCAUUUAAUACAA